rnacentral:rRNA from 1 species
UACAGAGGGUGCAAGCGUUAUUCGGAAUUACUGGGCGUAAAGCGCACGUAGGCGGGUUGUUAAGUCAGGGGUGAAAUCCUGGAGCUCAACUCCAGAACUGCCUUUGAUACUGGCAACCUAGAGGCUGGAAGAGGUUAGUGGAAUUCCCAGUGUAGAGGUGAAAUUCGUAGAUAUUGGGAAGAACACCAGUGGCGAAGGCGGCUAACUGGUCCAGAUCUGACGCUGAGGUGCGAAAGCGUGGGGAGCAAACAGG